GCCAGAAGGAUUGGCAAUGCUAGUUCAUUCCAAAAAAGGAGUCUCUUAUUAUUAAUUGAGACAUGAAAGUGGACCUUUAAUCGUGCUGUCUUACCCACCCCACUUAGACAUAGGGAAGUAAAAGCUGGAAUGGUGCCUAAGGCUCUAAAUGCUACAUAGAGAGCAUGCUAGACCUUGAGAACUCCAAGACUUGAAGAGGAUUCCCCAAAUGAUGUCCCAAAGAUGUGUCAUUCUAGAAGAGGCAAAUCGCAACAUAUAUAUUUUAAAAUAUAUGUGAUAGGUGAUAGUCCAAACCAUUCAUUUGUAUGCUUGGAGAUGUUCCUUCACUUUUUUAAAAAAAUCCAUUCUCCAUUGCCUUCACAGUGGGAUUAUUGAUAAUCCAUUUCAUGAAGUACAUUUCAUACACAGGAAUGGCUGAAACUAUUCAUGGUUGAAGUGUGCAAGUUUUAUUGAAGCCAUGCUAUUGGGGAGCAGUAAAAAUCUCUUUUAUUCAUUUGAUACUACUGGUAUUCCCACACAACUGAUGCUCUACAUUACAAAAAGAAGAACCUGCAUGCAACAGAAACACCAUCAUAUUUUACUUCAAUUAAAAACCAAACAGCCAUGCUAACUGAAAAUUUAUUUUUAUGUUAUUUUUAAUGCUGUAAUGUUAUGACUCCUGGCACACAGUACUAUGAAGAUGAAGGAAUAGAUCCCUAAUUUUUUAACCUAAGAAAUAAGAUAAAAUAAUUAUGUUUUAAAAUUGGCUCUCACCCAUCUGACUUUCUAUAAGAGCUUUAAGACCUGCCUCUGCCAGAUGGAUUUGGGCCCCAAUUGGGGGGAGGGGCUUCAAAUGGGAUUUGAUUAAGAGUUAAUCAUCCUCCCCCUCCUGUGCAUCUGGCUGCUCCCUUCUUCAUCUUGUGUCAAUGAUUUUAUUCUGUCUGUAUAUUUAUAUCUGAUAAUUUUAUAUAUUUUUACGUUGUAAGCUACCCAGAGUCACUUUGAAACAAAAAAGGUGGCAAAUAAAUUUAAUAAAUACUAAUAAUAAAAUCAGAAUUUGGUAAGCAAAAGCAUAUUUCAAAACUUCAGAACUUGUAUUUUACAACUUUUUACAUUUGUAAAAAUGUUGUCUUUAACAUUUGUAAGGUAGCCAUAGUUUUCUUCCACCACUACCAUUGCUACCACCAGUUACCCUAGACCAGGAAAAAGGAAAAACAAUAACAUUUUUCAGCCUCUUAUAUUUUCAGAAAUAAAAUGCAAAAGUAUCAAUAUUCCCAAUGCCUACACAGUAGGAAAUAAACUAUUAUCAUUCUUUUUGGCCCAAUAUUGAGCAGUGACUGAUUAUUUUUUCACUUUCCAUAUGUUGACCAUACAUUUAAAAGAUUGCUGUGACUACAUGUAUUAUAUGUAUAUUCUU